UCCAGACUCCUACGGGAGGCAGCAGUGAGGAAUAUUGGUCAAUGGACGAGAGUCUGAACCAGCCAAGUAGCGUGAAGGAUGACUGCCCUAUGGGUUGUAAACUUCUUUUAUAUGGGAAUAAAAUGUUCCACGUGUGGGAUUUUGUAUGUACCAUAUGAAUAAGGAUCGGCUAACUCCGUGCCAGCAGCCGCGGUAAUACGGAGGAUCCGAGCGUUAUCCGGAUUAUUGGGUUUAAAGGGUGCGUAGGCGGAAUAUCAAGUCAGCGGUAAAAAUUCGGGGCUCAGCCCCGUCGUGCCGUUGAAACUGAUGUUCUUGAGUGGGCGAGAAGUAUGCGGAAUGCGUGGUGUAGCGGUGAAAUGCAUAGAUAUCACGCAGAACUCCGAUUGCGAAGGCAGCAUACCGGCGCCCAACUGACGCUGAAGCACGAAAGCGUGGGUAUCGAACAGGAUUAGAUACCCCGGUA
rnacentral:rRNA from 1 species